rnacentral:rRNA from 1 species
UGAUCCGGAAAUCAGGACGAACGCUGGUCCGCGUGCCUAACACAUGCAAGUCGAGCGGGGAGGGCCUUCGGGCCUUUCCAGCGGCGGACGGGUGAGUAACGCGUGGACAACCAACCUUAUAGUGGGGGACAACACUUCGAAAGGAGUGCUAAUACCGCAUACGCUCUUCGGAUCGCAUGGUUUGAAGAGGAAAGGGGCAAUUGCUCCGCUAUAAGACGGGUCCGCGUCUGAUUAGCUAGUUGGAGGGGUAACGGCCCACCAAGGCGACGAUCAGUAGCCGGUCUGAGAGGAUGAACGGCCACACUGGGACUGAGACACGGCCCAGACUCCUACGGGAGGCAGCAGUGGGGAAUCUUCCGCAAUGGACGAAAGUCUGACGGAGCGACGCCGCGUGGGUGAAGAAGGCCUUCGGGUCGUAAAGCUCUGUCAUCAGGGACGAACGGCCGGUGGAGUGGAAAGCCACCGGAUUGACGGUACCUGAGAAGGAAGCCGCGGCUAACUACGUGCCAGCAGCCGCGGUAAUACGUAGGUGGCAAGCGUUGUUCCGGAAUUAUUGGGCGUAAAGCGCGCGCCAGGUGGGGAUCUUAAGUCCAUUUUGAAAGGUUCGGAGCUCAACUCCGUGAUGGGAUGGAAACUGGGAUUCUUGAGUUACCGGAGAAGGAAAGCUGGAAUUCCCCGUGCUAGCGGUGAAAUGUGUWUAUAUGGGGUAGGAACCACCGUGGGCGAAGGCGGGUUUUUCUGGUACSGGUGUCUGACC